GCUCCGGUAGCCUAAUGAUUAGAGCAUCCGCCUCGGAUGCUGGAGGUCGUGGGUUCGAUCCCCGGUCGGGUCA